AUGCAUUGGUUUGGCCUGCGGCAGCGCAUCUUCAGGAUAGAAGGAGAGGAGGAGAGGGGAGGGGAACGAGAGGCCUGGCGGCGGCUGAGGAGGUGCUCGCCGGCGAGCGUGCUCCGGCGGCCGCCUGACGCGCGGGGUUGGAUCCGGAGCGGCGAGUGGCCGAUUCACCUCCUCGCGAGCCCAUUGCCCUUCAAAGGUUCAAGAUAUGGUGCCGAGGACGAGCGGCCGAUCCAGAAAACCAACCCCGAUGGAUUGAUUCUUGAUGAAGAUACGCGCAUACACAAGAAGCACACACCCAGGCAGCUGGAUGGAUUUUUCUUUGAUGAGCGCACACACAUGGAAACUGUGAGCUGCCGGUGA
rnacentral:rRNA from 1 species